rnacentral:rRNA from 1 species
GGUUGAUCCUGCCAGUAGUCAUAUGCUUGUCUCAAAGAUUAAGCCAUGCAUGUCUAAGUAUAAGCAAUUAUACAGCGAAACUGCGAAUGGCUCAUUAAAUCAGUUAUCGUUUAUUUGAUAGUACCUUACUACAUGGAUAACCGUGGUAAUUCUAGAGCUAAUACAUGCUAAAAAUCCCGACUUCGGAAGGGAUGUAUUUAUUAGAUUAAAAACCAAUGCCCUUCGGGGCUCUCUGGUGAUUCAUGAUAACUUCUCGAAUCGCACGGCCUUGCGCCGGCGAUGGUUCAUUCAAA